rnacentral:rRNA from 1 species
UACGUAGGGUGCAAGCGUUACUCGGAAUUACUGGGCGUAAAGCGUGCGCAGGCGGUUUUGUAAGUCUGACGUGAAAGCCCCGGGCUCAACCUGGGAAUUGCGUUGGAGACUGCAAGGCUUGAAUCUGGCAGAGGGGGGUAGAAUUCCACGUGUAGCAGUGAAAUGCGUAGAGAUGUGGAGGAACACCGAUGGCGAAGGCAGCCCCCUGGGUCAAGAUUGACGCUCAUGCACGAAAGCGUGGGGAGCAAACAGG